GGCACAGAAAAUCUGCACUGCGCGUACAUACACAAAAAAGUCCAACCUAAAUUGAAAAUAAAAUAAACAUGUAGCAAUUCAUUCUGUGCUAUUUUUCAAUGUGAGUCAGUGAGUGACCGGUGACUGGCUGCUGCAGCCAAUGAUGCGAUUCACAUACGUAUUUACCAUAGACUGUAUAUAAUGGUAUUUACACAGCUAAUCAACGUUAGGCGUCCUUAUGUGCAGCCACCGUUGCUCUCAUAGAUAUGAAUGAGUAGAUAGGACACGCCCCUUUGAGCUGCGUGCUACAGCGAGGCUAAGCUAGUGGGGGCAAAGUUUCAGUGCAUUCAGGUGAUGGAUGUAGACGGCGUGAAAACGGAAACAACAAGUAUGCCGUCUCACUGUGCUGCAUACAGUUACACACUACGUCGUACGAUUGAGACAAGGAAACUUGGAAUGACUUUUCAUAGGUAAGAAUAGUUCUUGGCUCUUUUUUCAUUAUGAAAUCUUGUUGAGAGCUUCCAGUCUAUGAGAGCUAACUAGUUAGCCACUAGCAAAACGCUAAGGCGAGCAAGCAGCUUGACAACCAAAUACCAGACGAUUAAUAGUAGCUGUAGUAUAGUUGUACAAGCAGUAGUAGUAAUACUAAAAGUACAACAGCAGUAGUAGUAUAAACAGCUGUUAGAGUCGUAGAAGUAGUAUCAGCAUUUGUAAUAGUAUUCCAAGUUGUAGUAUUGCAUUACUAUUACUACCACCAAUACUACCAAUAGUAGUUAUAAAGCCUAACUCAUAUAUAUCCAGAUUACCAUCUAUGUUCUUCCUCCAAACCCAUUUUAUGAUUAGGAUUACAGGCAGUUCUUUAGGACUGCUCUCAAAUAAUUGAAAUGUUACUAAACAAUGUUAUACUUAUUAAAUUAAAUAGCUCUGGUCUCCAGUAUAUUGGUGAAUUCAGUUCUUUGUACUUAAUUUAUUAGCAUGAUAUUUUUUUUUAAUAUGUUGUGUACAGACUUACUUACUUCUCUGUCUACUUUUCUUACUCCAUGUAGGUUUCCCAGAGACUAUGGGUUGAGGAGGAAGUGGACGUUUGUCAGCUUAGACCUGGUGUCAUUCCAUCAGUGUUAAACUUCCCGGCUCAUCUUGGAAGAGUACGUGCCAGAAAGACCACGACCAAGCAGCCUUGAGAUCUUAGACAGCGUCUCCCUCAGGUCCCUCUCUAUCUCCACACAUCCACCAACCACUGGAACACAUCUCCAAAGUUCUGCCGGUCCAGCUCAGCUUCCCCUCAGAAGAAGUGCCGCCACCUGCCAGAUGAAGGAGCCUUUUGAGAGGCAGCUGGCAUCGUGAUUGGACUGUACUUUGGUCUGUUCCAAUCCAGCUUCAGCUCCAGAGACGGCAGGCGGGACGAGUCAACGGAGGCCGGGUGGACGAAGGCAUGAAGCUGAGU